rnacentral:rRNA from 1 species
GAUGAACGCUGGCGGCGUGCCUAAUACAUGCAAGUCGAGCGAACAGAUGAGGAGCUUGCUCCUCUGACGUUAGCGGCGGACGGGUGAGUAACACGUGGAUAACCUACCUAUAAGACUGGGAUAACUUCGGGAAACCAGAGCUAAUAUCGGAUAAUAUAUUGAACCGCAUGGUUCAAUAGUGAAAGACGGUUUUGCUGUCACUUAUAGAUGGAUCCGCGCCGCAUUAGCUAGUUGGUAAGGUAACGGCUUACCAAGGCAACGAUGCGUAGCCGACCUGAGAGGGUGAUCGGCCACACUGGAACUGAGACACGGUCCAGACUCCUACGGGAGGCAGCAGUAGGGAAUCUUCCGCGAUGGGCGAAAGCCUGACGGAGCAACGCCGCGUGAGUGAUGAAGGUCUUCGGAUCGUAAAACUCUGUUAUUAGGGAAGAACAAAUGUGUAAGUAACUAUGCACGUCUUGACGGUACCUAAUCAGAAAGCCACGGCUAACUACGUG